rnacentral:rRNA from 1 species
UGGGGAAUAUUGGACAAUGGGGGGAACCCUGAUCCAGCCAUGCCGCGUGUGUGAAGAAGGCUUUAUGGUUGUAAAGCACUUUAAGCGAGGAGGAGGGUACUGGUAUUAAUACUACCAGCUACUGGACGUUACUCGCAGAAUAAGCACCGGCUAACUCUGUGCCAGCAGCCGCGGUAAUACAGAGGGUGCGAGCGUUAAUCGGAUUUACUGGGCGUAAAGCGUGCGUAGGCGGCUAAUUGAGUCGGAUGUGAAAUCCCCGAGCUUAACUUGGGAAUUGCAUUGGAUGAUGGUUAGCUAGGGUGUGGGAGAGGGUGGUAGAAUUCCAGGGGUGGCGGUGAAAUGCGUAGAGAUCUGGAGGAAUACCGAUGGCGAAGGCAGCCAUCUGGCCUAACACUGACGCUGAGGUACGAAAGCAUGGGGAGCAAAAAGG